AUUAAAGCGAUGAAGAGAAUGAGUAAAUAUGACAUAAAUAUUAAGAGAGGAAGUGGGUGGUGAAAACUUCUUAUUUAGCAUAUUGAAGCUAUCUUGGAGCUUAUUUUACUUUAAGUGAUGUAUACUUUAUACAUAAUUAGGGUGGUACCGCGGAAAUUAUAAGUUUUCGUCCCUUUU
rnacentral:ncRNA from 1 species